rnacentral:sRNA from 1 species
GUUUAGCCCAGAUAGAAAUGAAAAGCUUUUUGCUGUAGCUAUUACUGUUUUUGUAGCGCAUAAAAAGCGACCGCAAGGAAGCUCUUUUAUUGGCUUACAAAAACUUAUAGAUAUGCAAAAACUUGCAAUGUAUAGCUGGAAAUUGC